rnacentral:rRNA from 1 species
UAUGUAAUUUGCCAGCCGCCGCGGUAAUACGUAUGGUGCAAGCGUUAUCCGGAUUUACUGGGUGUAACGGGAGCGUAGACGGAUGGGCAAGUCUGAUGUGAAAACCCGGGGCUCAACCCCGGGACUGCAUUGGAAACUGUUCAUCUAGAGUGCUGGAGAGGUAAGUGGAAUUCCUAGUGUAGCGGUGAAAUGCGUAGAUAUUAGGAGGAACACCAGUGGCGAAGGCGGCUUACUGGACAGUAACUGACGUUGAGGCUCGAAAGCGUGGGGAGCAAACAGG